rnacentral:rRNA from 1 species
CGGAUGGCCAUGCGGCGCAUUAGCUAGUCGGCGGGGUAACGGCCCACCGAGGCGACGAUGCGUAGGGGUUCUGAGAGGAAGGUCCCCCACACUGGUACUGAGACACGGACCAGACUCCUACGGGAGGCAGCAGUGAGGAAUAUUGGUCAAUGGGCGAGAGCCUGAACCAGCCAAGUCGCGUGAAGGAUGACGGCCCUACGGGUUGUAAACUUCUUUUGUCAGGGAGCAAUUGAGUCCACGUGUGGGCUUAGCGAGAGUACCUGAAGAAAAAGCAUCGGCUAACUCCGUGCCAGCAGCCGCGGUAAUACGGAGGAUGCGAGCGUUAUCCGGAUUUAUUGGGUUUAAAGGGUGCGUAGGCGGAAUAUCAAGUCAGCGGUAAAAAUUCGGGGCUCAACCCCGUCGUGCCGUUGAAACUGAUGUUCUUGAGUGGGCGAGAAGUAUGCGGAAUGCGUGGUGUAGCGGUGAAAUGCAUAGAUAUCACGCAGAACUCCGAUUGCGAAGGCAGCAUACCGGCGCCCAACUGACGCUGAAGCACGAAAGCGUGGGUAUCGAACAGGAUUAGAUACCCUGGUAGUCCACGCAGUAAACGAUGAAUGCUAAUUGUCCGGAGGGAUUGACCUCUGGGUGAUACAGCGAAAGCGUUAAGCAUUCCACCUGGGGAGU